GACGAACGCUGGCGGCGCGCUUAACACAUGCAAGUCGAGCGAGAACCAGGGCUUCGGCCCUGGGGAAAGCGGCGAACGGGUGAGUAACACGUGAGUAACCUGUCCUCGGCACCGGGAUAGCCCGGGGAAACCCGGAUUAAUACCGGAUGGCCUUUCGAGUCUUCGGGCUCGUCAGAAAAGGGAGCUUCGGCCUCCGGCCGAGGAGGGACUCGCGGCGGAUUAGCUUGUUGGUGGGGUAACGGCUCACCAAGGCGACGAUCCGUAGCUGGUCUGAGAGGACGAUCAGCCACACUGGGACUGAGACACGGCCCAGACUCCUACGGGAGGCAGCAGGUGGGGAAUCUUGCG
rnacentral:rRNA from 1 species